GAGUGUCGUUGUCCCUGCGGACAAGCUACUCAGAGCUGCCCGCUCGUUCUGCAAAGGGCACCCGCCGGGGUCUCCUAGGAGCAGACCUGCUCGGGGUGCAUCCGGCCGUGGGAACGCGGCGUCUGCUGCUGGGGCCAAGUCUCAGUCCGUCUCCCGUCAUGCGGACCCACCGUGGGCAUCCGGCCUGUGACGCGAGCAAGUGAGAAGGACGUAGCGGGUACCCUGGAGCCCUGGGCCGCAGCAAAGCGCCAGGAAGUGGACCGGAAGGAGACACCAGGCUUUCUAAGGGUUUGUGACUGACGAGCGUGUCACAACGGGUGUGCGACAUCACUCCACUCACACAUCACCCCCACUUGGAAGACAAGAGAAGGUUCUCCGGCUGGGGCUACAGUGUAUGUGGCCCUGCGAUCGGCCCUGUGGUGUUGGAGCCACGGGGCUUUGACGUGAUCUUGAGACCCGACCCUUCUUGACAGAAGAAAACUCAGAGGUUCCUCUGGGGUGAAGAGAACCACUAUUUCCGUGGAAAGCACCUCUCCUCUCACGGAGAGGGUAUCGGACUCGAGUAGGCACCUAGCGCCAGACCAUGGGCCACACCAAAUGACCACGUAACCCGAUGACGGUCCUCAGCCGCGUGUUUUCUGAGCCACGAGACCACACCAGCGGGCGCGUCUGGUCACAUUGCGAGUGGAACUUGCACACGAGAGCAGGCUCCAGCAGGACCCUUGCAGCCCCGACGUGCCUGCCCUGCUGCUCAGACCGGGUCUGUUGGUGGACAAACACAGAUCCACACGGCCUGUGUCCCCACGUGGUUAAACGCUCAACACAGCAAGCUCCACUCUGCCGUGAAGUCCGGUCCUCUGAGCACACUCGGACGACUGCAUUGCAACAAGUCACUUAUGAAGCUGUCAGCCGGACAGUGGUGUUGACCCCUCGGAGCCACGACUCCUUCCAAAAUCAGAGACAUCCCUGGGAGGGAAAGGAGGCCUGUGGCCAGCCCUGGGCUGCUGGGGGCCUCCCACCUGCUUCCCCUGAUGCAACAGAGUCUCCUGAAGACUGACGGCCACUGGGGGGAGCCGCCCCCAGGCCAGGGGACACCUGGUCCCGUGAGCAGCAGACGCGGGGCCGUGCCAACGACCGAAGGCACGCCACAGUGUGGUUCGGAGGAGAGGGGGGCGGGUUAGAGAAAGGCUGAAAGGCCCGUAUGAGAGACCGUGUCUCGGUUAAUUUUUUUUUUUAAGUUUAUUUAUUUCUUUAGAGAGAUUGAGAGCAUGAGCAGGAAAGGGGCAGAGAAGGAAUCCCAAGCAAGCCCUGUGCUGUCGGCACUGAGCCGGACGCGGGGCUCAAACCCACGAACAGUGAGACCGGGCCCUGAGCUGAAAUCAAGAGUCGGGCACUUAGCCGACCGAGCCGCCCAGGCGCCCCCAUGUCUGGGUUGCAAGUUGUUAGGUUUCUGACCACACAUCAACCACAGGGCAGGAGAGGCCUCCACACAUGCAGAGGUCAGAGGGACUUGCUUACUGGAGACUGACAAAAAGUCACACAGCUUUGUGUAAGAAUCUGCGAGGGAGUCCGACGGAGGAGUCCCAGACCUCACCAGACGGGCCUCCAAAUUACUGUUCUCGGGGCAGCUGUUUGAGGAGGAAGAAAGGUUGGUGGUAAUUCGACGAUGGCUGGGUUGGGUGGGGACAUGGGUGGGGUUCAGGGACCGGGGCGGGGCGGGGAGGGGGGCACCGCGGGUACGUUGAGCCCCUGAAGUUACAUUUGUGCGGAGCAGCCUUCUGAGGGAAGGACGGACAGCGUCCACCCCCGGGCCCGGAAGGGGCCUCAGACCCACUGUGUCAGGGGCGCCGUCCGAUACAAUGGCCGCGAACUCGUCUCCGUGCACGCGGGCUGGGGCACGGAGCUGUCACGGGACGGAGCACUGCUCUUAGCGCCUGGGAGUCGUGGUGUAUGUGGAGUAGAUUCGGACAACCCGAGCCCUGCCUGCAGCCGGGAAGGCGGAAAGUCCCUAACGGCUUGUUUUAAGUCAAGGCAAAAGAGGGUGUUAUUAACACCGACACCGGAAGCAGACCCCACCUGGGAGUCCAGGAAUCCAAGCCAGGAAACGGGGUGUCCGAGUGAGGGGUAGUUUCAGACCGACCGGUAAAGACCUUAGUCGAUAAACUCUUCUCCGCCUGAAAGGGGAAGAGCAUCUACCAAAGGGCGCCCUCUGCAGGUGCACGGGCUGUGAUCCCAGGGGUGGCCCUGACCUUCCGCAGGCAGGCCGUGUGAGCGACCAGCUCUAAGGCCCGGGGGCCGCCGGGUUGGAUCAAACAACAGUUGCACACGUCACAGCUUGAACCCGCAGCCCCUCCUGUGGGUACAGGGAGACCCCGCCGGGCUGGGUUGGACAGAUAAAGCCGUAUUUGACAAGCCAGCGCCCCUCAGGGCCAGAGCCAUAAGGGACCACAAAGUUACAGGACCGUGGCAGGUGCCCAGAGAAGAGUUCUGCACCGCCCUUGGAGAGAGGACAGAGUGCGAGAUCCCACAGGACAGGGCAGCCCCGUGUCACAGGCGAACAUGGUGGUCGGUCGUCCCCUCUCCCACCUCGGGAGGCGGAAUGUGCAAGGACCUAUAGGACUCCUCCACGAUGACGUGAUGGGAUGGAGAGAAUGGUGUCCAACAGGACUGCAGAGGUUGAAGAAGGCUGACCGGCCGGAGGAGGAGACAAGCAGUCAGAGUGCGGAGGCUGGACCGCCCGUGAGGAGGGCCACUUGUCGGGAGGGGUCGCCCUGGCACCGAGGCGGUCAGGCACGCGGGCAGCCCCCCACCCCUGCCCUGCCGCGGCCUCCAGAUGCCGCUGGGGUCACCGCACCAGCCGGUGGAUUAGCCCAGGCGAGCACUUCUGCGGGGUGCACACGGGGCACCCGUGCAACGCGCGUACCUGG